UACAGAGGGGGCGAGCGUUGUUCGGAAUUACUGGGCGUAAAGGGCGCGUAGGCGGCCUGCUAAGUCGGAUGUGAAAUCCCUCGGCUCAACCGAGGAACUGCAUCCGAUACUGGCGGGCUUGAAUCCGGGAGAGGGAUGUGGAAUUCCAGGUGUAGCGGUGAAAUGCGUAGAUAUCUGGAGGAACACCGGUGGCGAAGGCGGCAUCCUGGACCGGUAUUGACGCUGAGGCGCGAAAGCCAGGGGAGCAAACGGG
rnacentral:rRNA from 1 species